GACGGGACCGCACAAGCGGUGGAUGAUGUGGUUAAUUCGAUGCAACGCGAAAACCUUACCUACCUUUGACAUGUACGGAAUUCGCCAGAGAUGGCUUAGUGCUCGAAAGAGAACCGUAACACAGGUGCUGCAUGGCUGUCGUCAACUCGUGUCGUGAGAUGUUGGGUUAAGUCCCGCAACGAGCGCAACCCUUGUCAUUAGUUGCUACAUUUAGUUGGGCACUCUAAUGAGACUGCCGGUGACAAACCGGAGGAAGGUGGGGAUGACGUCAAGUCCUCAUGGCCCUUAUAGGUAGGGCUACACACGUGCUACAAUGGGCGGUACAAAGGGUCGCGAACCCGCGAGGGGGAGCCAAUCCCAAAAAGCCGCUCUCAGUUCGGAUUGCAGGCUGCAACUCGCCUGCAUGAAGCCGGAAUCGCUAGUAAUCGCGGAUCAGCAUGCCGCGGUGAAUACGUUCCCGGGCCUU
rnacentral:rRNA from 1 species